rnacentral:rRNA from 1 species
CCUACGGGUGGCAGCAGUGAGGAAUAUUGGUCAAUGGACGAGAGUCUGAACCAGCCAAGUAGCGUGAAGGAUGACUGCCCUAUGGGUUGUACACUUCUUUUAUAUGGGAAUAAAAUGUUACUCGUGUGGGAUUUUGUAUGUACCAUAUGAAUAAGGAUCGGCUAAGUCCGUGCCAUCAGCCGCGGUAAUACGGAGGAUCCGAGCGUUAUCCGGAUUUAUUGGGUUUAAAGGGAGCGUAGGUGGAUUGUUAAGUCAGUUGUGAAAGUUUGCGGCUCAACCGUAAAAUUGCAGUUGAAACUGGCAGUCUUGAGUACAGUAGAGGUGGGCGGAAUGCGUGGUGUAGCGGUGAAAUGCUUAGAUAUCACGAAGAACUCCGAGUGCGAAGGCAGCUCACUGGACUGCAACUGACACUGAGGCUCGAAAGUGUGGGUAUCAAACAGGAUUAGAUACCCGGGUAGUC